rnacentral:rRNA from 1 species
GGGANCNUUUGGNANGNAANGNGGNNUNNUGACCCCCCACACUGGUACUGAGACACGACCAACUCCUACGGGAGGCAGCAGUGAGGAAUAUUGGUCNNAAUGGGCGAGAGCCUGAACCACCAGUCCGUGAAGGAGGACGGUUCUAUGGAUUGUAAACUUCUUUUGUAGAGGAAUAAUGGCAGCUACGUGUAGCUGAGAUGCAUGUACUCUACGAAUAAGUAUCGGCUAACUCCGUGCCAGCAGCCGCGGUAAUACGGAGGAUACGAGCGUUAUCCGGAAUUAUUGGGUUUAAAGGGUGCGUAGGUGGCGUAUUAAGUCAGUGGUGAAAAGCUGCAGCUCAACUGUAGUCUUGCCGUUGAAACUGAUAUGCUAGAGAGGAGACGAGGUAUGCGGAAUGUGUGGUGUAGCGGUGAAAUGCAUAGAUAUCACACAGAACGCCGAUUGCGAAGGCAGCGUACCA